rnacentral:rRNA from 1 species
GAUGAACGCUGGCGGCGUGCCUAAUACAUGCAAGUCGAGCGAACGGACGAGAAGCUUGCUUCUCUGAUGUUAGCGGCGGACGGGUGAGUAACACGUGGAUAACCUACCUAUAAGACUGGGAUAACUUCGGGAAACCGUAGCUAAUACCGGAUAAUAUUUUGAACCGCAUGGUUCAAAAGUGAAAGACGGUCUUGCUGUCACUUAUAGAUGGAUCCGCGCUGCAUUAGCUAGUUGGUAAGGUAACGGCUUACCAAGGCAACGAUGCAUAGCCGACCUGAGAGGGUGAUCGGCCACACUGGAACUGAGACACGGUCCAGACUCCUACGGGAGGCAGCAGUAGGGAAUCUUCCGCAAUGGGCGAAAGCCUGACGGAGCAACGCCGCGUGAGUGAUGAAGGUCUUCGGAUCGUAAAACUCUGAUAUUAGGGAAGAACAUAUGUGUAAGUAACUGUGCACAUCUUGACGGUACCUAAUCAGAAAGCCACGGCUAACUACGU